AAGGUGAUGAACACAUCAGAUUUCCUGGUGUAACGAAUUUUUUAAGUGCUUCUUGCUUAAGCAAGUUUCAUCCCGACCCCCUCAGGGUCGGGAUU
rnacentral:other from 1 species